UAUAUGUUCAAAGUGGUUUAAAGGACCUUAUAAGCUUGUUUUAUUGUUUAGAGGGACCUAAACGUCACAUUCCGGUAAUUAACUUUUUUACUCCGGCGUUGACUAGUCACAUGAUUGUCAUGUGACUUACAAAAACUACCCAUUCCUAAUUUUUUCAUGUUUUCUCUCCAUUCUUCUUUCUCUCUCUUCUAAUCCCCUAAAUUUCUCUCUCCUUUGGUAUUCUCUGAGGAAUAAUACAUAAAAGAGUGAAGAUUAAGUCCAGAAAUUAUUCUCUCAUCUACCAAAUUGAAUUAGAGUUAGAGAAGAGAGGACUUUCUUGGCCCAGGUUUAAAUAUAAAUACCCAGCUUAUAAAGUGAUGGAUCCUAUUAACAUUUGGUUGUUCUAUGGGGGUAAAUUUGUGACUAGAAAGGGGGUGACCACCUAUGAGAAGGGUGAUAGUGAUUAUUAUGGUUGGUCAUUACAUCCUAAUGUGGAAGAGGUUUGUUACUUUGAAUUUGUGCAUGGGGUUAAGACAGAGUUAGGCUACAAACAUAUGGGUCAGCUUUGGUUUAGGAAGGAUAGUCACACUUGGUUUAAUGGUAGGCAACAAUUAUAAGGUGAUGAAGACAUUAUCGAAUUUCUGUUUUCUAGAAAGGAUGAUGGAUGGUACCAUUUAUAUGUAGUGCAUGAGGAUCCAAUUGUUGAGGAUGAUAGGAGACUGCUGAUGUAUGGACCUGAUAGGGUGGGAGUUUACACAGAUUCUUCUGAUGGGGGGUCUAGUAGUUUGGGUAGUUUUUUUAAUUUCUGAUUCACUAAGAAGUGACUCAGCAACACAUGGAAGCAAUGUUGGAAGUGGGGCCCCGUUAAAAGAUGUUAUUCAAAACCCUAGAUCUACUUCCUUAUCCCUUUGCAUUGUAAGUCCAUAAAAGGUCCUAACUGCAGCUCUAGGGAUGGCAAUCUAGUCCGGAUCCGACCCUACUCCGCCCUGAUCUGAGGUAAAAAAAAUUCGCUCCGAGUCCGAGAAAAAAGUAAUCCGAGUGCGACUCCGUUAAAAUAAUUUGACUCUGAGUCAGAGGAGGGUCGGAGUCGGUCCUACAAAAAAUCCGACUCUGAUAAAUGUCAGACUCUGACGGGUUAUCUGAAUCCGAUUCCGAUAGAUAGUGGAUUUUUGUGUGGGUCAUGGUGGCAUUGAGUGUGGGUAAUAAGGCCCAAAUAGCCCAAUUUCUCAAAGUAUAUUAAUUAACAAAAGAAACUAGGAUUCGGGUCGGAUCAAAGUCGGAGUCGAAGGCCGGAUCGGAUUUAGCAUAAUCCGCUUCGGGUCUGACCCGUUGCCAUCCCUAAGCAGCUCAUUCAAACCUUAUCAAAAAUUUGAAUCUUCUCCUUCUUCUUCCACAAGUCUCAUCAUUUAAACAACAUAUACUCCAGCUUCUGAUCAUGUGAAACCUAAAAGAAGACUUAGAAUUAAAAAAGUAUGUUCAAACCAAUCCGAAGCUCAAACCAAUCCGAAACUAACCUCAGAUUGAAAUUUAACCCACCCAAGCAUCUCAAAGUACUCCUCUUUGAAAUUCUUAUGACUUUGACACACUUAAAUCUACUCUGAUGAAACGAUUGAAACCCAAAAGGAGACUAAGGAAGCAUUCUUUACAUCCCAUUCUUGAAGUUGAGGUUGAUGAUGUUGUUGGAGAAGAUGAUGAAUUAGAGUCAGAGUUUGAUGCUAGGGAGUCUGCUUUGGUUUUAAGUGAGGAUGAUUAUGAGGAUCAAGAUGCUGAUGAUCUAUUUAUUUGCAGCUAAUGUAGAUCUGCAGGUUAGUGAGAUUGUGAAAAGAAGUUUAGUGGGGCUUAAGACUAAGAACAAGGAGGCUGAGGGAGAUGAACAAGGAAAUAUAUUGUUAGUGAGUGAUGAGGAUCUUAAUGAAAGUGAUGAUGAGCUGACAGAAAUACCUGGAUUUAAUGAUGAUGAAAUUCAAUAUCUUGUUUUCAAUCCAACUGUAGAUUUUAUGAAGAAGAUUUCCUUCACUUUAGGCCUAAUAUUUUCUAUCUGGGAAGGUGUUUAGGAAGGCAUUACAACAUCAAGAAAUUGAGAAUGGUUAUAAUUACAAUUUUUUGCACAACAAGAGUCAUAAAAUAACUGUAGAGUCCAUUAGGAAAUCAAACCCAGGAAAUGCUACAGUGGUACUUGGUGGGUACGGUAUUGAAAACCCACCUCCUUUGUUCCAGAGAAUUUAUAUUUGCCUACAACCCUACAAAGAGGGUUUCAUGGCAGGUUACAGGCUAAUAUUAGGGGUUGAUGGUGCUCAUAUGUAAGGGCUUUUCUCUAGGAUAUUGUUGACAGCUGUUGGAAAGGAUGAAAACAAUAACAUCUUUCCAGUAGCUUGGACUGUAGUGGAAACAUAAAAUGCAGAUACAUGGGCCUGGUUCCUAGAAUUCUUAGUGGCUGAAAUUUCUUAAGAUGCACAAGCAGUAACAUGGGUUUAAGAGAUUGAAUAUGAUGUUACCUUUAUGUCUAAUAGGCAAAAGGUUAGUCUUUCUACUUAUACACUUUAAUUUAUCUCUCAUUUAUGUUCAUCAUUUAACUUAAAAAUGUUAUUUCAAUAGGGUCUACUACUUGAUGCAUUUAACAAAGUAAUUCCCAAUACCGAGAAAAGAUAUUGUUGUAGACAUGCAUAUAUGGUCCAACUUUAAGAACAAGUUCCCAAGGGAAGUAUACAGAGAAGUUUUCUGGAAAGCAGUAAGGUCAUCGGCUAAGGUAACAGAUUUUGUUAUGCAUUGUAUAUAAGUUAUUGCUUAUUAUUCAGUGUAUAUCGUUAAAUCAAUUGGGGAUGUGUAUUCUGUCCAUCAUCACUUUGAAUCAUACAAGGACGAGAUUAAAAAAAUUGAAUGCAGCAGCUUUCAAUUACCUAGAUGAUAUUCAUGUAUGCCAUUGGUCAAGACAUGGGUUUAGUUCUAGGGUUAUCUAGUAUGUUGCUAAGCAAUUGUUGUGAGAGUUUCAACAAUGUGUUGAGAGAGGCUGCUAAACCAAAUAUGUCAUUAAUGGAGUGGAUAAGACAAUAUGUUGUGAGAUGUUUUGCUAAAAGGGAAGGGUUACAAAACUUUAAAGGAGUAAUUAUGCCCUUUGUUGCAAAAAUGAUUUAGAGGGGUCAAAAGAUGGUACAUUGGUAGCAUAAGAAUAACCCAAGCUGACUUGCAUGAGUUUGAGGUUGAUGAUGAUGGGGACACAUUUGUGGCUAACUUGGAAGACAAAAGAAAUGGGUGUUAUAGGUGGACUCUGAUGGGAAUCCCCUACUGGCAUGCAUUGGCCUGCAUAGAAAAGAGAUGGUUGAACUAUGAAGAUUUGUUCACCCUGCCAACCAUAUUGCUACAUAUGCAGCAACUUAUGCACCUCCGAUCCCUUUCAUGCUAUGCCUAGAAAAAAGCAAUGGCAGAAAGUACCUAUGGCUGAACCACUACCCCCACCAUUCAGUGUCAUGCCUUGUAGAAAAUAAAGAAAGAAAAAGACAGGUGAGCGAAAGGACAAGUAUGUUAAGAGGCCAAAAAAAGAACAACUAUAAAAGGUUUGGGGAAUUGGGUCAUUCUAGUAUUUCUUUUUUCAAACCUGAUAAACCAAAGGGUCCUGUUAAUAAGGGUGGGAGACCUAAACAAGAAAAAAUCAAGGACCAUUUCAAUCAACAACAGUUAUAGCCUCUAGUUCAUCAGCAGGAACAUCUGUAGGUAGAGCUUCAGGAUAUGCAACAAUAGUCAGGGCAUUAGAAAUGCAACAACAUUUAGGGCAUCAACUAAGGGUACUGGUGCAGCAGCAUUCAGGCUAUCAACUAGGGCUUUAAGUGCAGUAGUAUCUAGGCCAUUAACUACUGCUUCAGGAAGGGGACCUGCUGUGAGGAAGAAAAAAGAAUCAUCUUCAUCUGGGGGAGCUGUUGCAUCUCAGAACACUAAGAAACAACCUACUCCUACUGCCAAAGGCAAGAGACAGAAUACAAGUUCUAUGAAUGCUCUACUAGCCUCACAACCAUCUCAGCAAAGUUGUGUAUCUUAUGACUGAUAGAAUUGAAGGGUUUUCAAGCAAUGUAAUCUUAACUUUAGCUAAAAAAAACUGAUAUUUUGGUUAAGUAACUUAUUGUCAUGUAAUUUCAGUUACUUUUGGAUGAUUUCAGUCACUUUUGGAUAAUUUCAGUGACUUUUGGAUACAACGUAUUCAACUUUGUUGUGGAUAAUUUCAUGAAUUUUUCUACUGCUAUAUAUGUUUGAAAUUUAUAUUUACAUCCAUUUUAACAUAUGUCAUUGUGGCUAUAAUAAUGUUACAAAAUUCAAAAACA